ACUCAAAUGAAUUGACGGGGGCCCGCACAAGCGGCGGAGCAUGCGGAUUAAUUCGAUGCAACGCGAAGAACCUUACCUGGGUUUGACAUAUGCCGGAAACAUCUAGAGAUAGGUGCCCCGCAAGGUCGGUAUACAGGUGGUGCAUGGCUGUCGUCAGCUCGUGUCGUGAGAUGUUGGGUUAAGUCCCGCAACGAGCGCAACCCUCGUUCUAUGUUGCCAGCGGUUCGGCCGGGAACUCAUAGAAGACUGCCGGGGUCAACUCGGAGGAAGGUGGGGAUGACGUCAAGUCAUCAUGCCCCUUAUGUCCAGGGCUUCACGCAUGCUACAAUGGCUGGUACAAAGGGCUGCGAUAUCGCAAGAUGGAGCGAAUCCCAUAAAGCCAGUCUCAGUUCGGAUUGGGGUCUGCAACUCGACCCCAUGAAGUCGGAGUCGCUAGUAAUCGCAGAUCAGCAACGCUGCGGUGAAUACGUUCCCGGGCCUUGUACACACCGCCCGU
rnacentral:rRNA from 1 species